UGUUCUGUGGCUUAGUUGGUUGAAGCGCCGCCCUAGCGAACACGGAGUCGUGGGUUCAAAUCCCACCAGAACGC
rfam:Aedes albopictus isolate Foshan contig118498, whole genome shotgun sequence.